GUGAGGAAUAUUGGUCAAUGGGCGAGAGCCUGAACCAGCCAAGUCGCGUGAAGGAAGAAGGAUCUAUGGUUCGUAAACUUCUUUUGCAGGGGAAUAAAGUGCAGGACGUGUCCUGUUUUGUAUGUACCCUGAGAAUAAGGAUCGGCUAACUCCGUGCCAGCAGCCGCGGUAAUACGGAGGAUCCGAGCGUUAUCCGGAUUUAUUGGGUUUAAAGGGUGCGUAGGUGGUUUGAUAAGUCAGCGGUGAAAGUUUGCAGCUUAACUGUAAAAAUGCCGUUGAAACUGUCGGACUUGAGUGUAAAUGAGGUAGGCGGAAUGCGUGGUGUAGCGGUGAAAUGCAUAGAUAUCACGCAGAACUCCGAUUGCGAAGGCAGCUUACUAAGCUACAACUGACACUGAAGCACGAAAGCGUGGGGAUCAAACAGGAUUAGAAACCCCUGUAGUC
rnacentral:rRNA from 1 species